rnacentral:lncRNA from 1 species
CCCUCCUAAAGAGAUCUGUGUUGCCGUUUGUUGGUUCCCCUGCCUCAGAACCCUGUCCUCAGAUCCAACUUUGCACAGCAGUCUGGACGGCAGGGUCACAAGCUGAACUUUCCUUUGGCUUCCCUGGGAGCUGAACACUCUCCUAGACCCAAACCCUGGAACGAGGUUUGUGUGUAGGGAGCCUAAGCCGGAGCUCCAACCUUCGUGAGAAGUCCCGUGAUCUCCAUAAGCCUAGCUAUACAGACCUGUACAGGGUCUCCCAGGCCUGCAAGCAAGGGACAAAAAGACUAAGCAAAGAACAGAGAAGCUGUGGACCCUCGGGAGAUCAGCCCACUUAGCCUCCUGUAGUCCCAAGCCUGUGACCCCUGAAAGAGGCUCAAGGAGCUAAAAGAAGUCACUCAAACCCCUGCAGGGCUCCAGCUGCACCACCCAUCCACCUGAGGACCCUCCAUAAUCACCCAUAGGACCUUGUGUCUGUCUAUCAUCUUUCCUCCUUCCUCAUCUGAGUCCUCCCUGUACCUGAACCAAGAGAUGAGUCACUGCACCCCGCCCUUGCAAAGUGCCAGUGUUGGGACCAGAACAAGGAGUUCACACCAAGGUGAGGACAAAGGACAUCACAGUUUGGUGCUGGAAUGUGGUGAGGGUGAUCCCUUGGGGUCCCUCCAUGGAGUAACUUUGAGGAAUGAGUUCUGCACCCUGGGACUGUGCAGUCUCCAAACCCAGUGGGCUGUGGAACCCUUUCCCAG